GAUGAACGCUGGCGGCGUGCCUAAUACAUGCAAGUCGAGCGAACGGACGAGAAGCUUGCUUCUCUGAUGUUAGCGGCGGACGGGUGAGUAACACGUGGAUAACCUACCUAUAAGACUGGGAUAACUUCGGGAAACCGUAGCUAAUACCGGAUAAUAUUUUGAACCGCAUGGUUCAAAAGUGAAAGACGGUCUUGCUGUCACUUAUAGAUGGAUCCGCGCUGCAUUAGCUAGUUGGUAAGGUAACGGCUUACCAAGGCAACGAUGCAUAGCCGACCUGAGAGGGUGAUCGGACACACUGGAACUGAGACACGGCCCAGACUCCUACGGGAGGAAGCAGCAGGGAAUCUUACGCAAUGCGCGAAAGCCUGACGGAGCAACGCCGCGUGAGUGAUGAAGGUCUUCGGAUCGUAAAACUCUGCUAUUAGGGAAGAACAUAAGUGUAAGUAACUGUGCACAUCUUGACGGUACCUAAUCAGAAAGCCACGGCUAACUACGUG
rnacentral:rRNA from 1 species